rnacentral:rRNA from 1 species
GUGAGGAAUAUUGGGCAAUGGAGGCAACUCUGACCCAGCCAUGCCGCGUGCAGGAAGACGGUCCUCUGGAUUGUAAACUGCUUUUGAAUGGGAAGAAACGUAGCUUUGCGAAGCUAUUUGACGGUACUAUUAGAAUAAGCACCGGCUAACUCCGUGCCAGCAGCCGCGGUAAUACGGAGGGUGCAAGCGUUAUCCGGAUUUAUUGGGUUUAAAGGGUGCGUAGGCGGCUUUAUAAGUCUGGGGUUAAAGGCGGCAGCUUAACUGUACGCAUGCCCUGGAAACUGUGAAGCUUGAGUGACUUGGAGGUAGCUAGAAUUCCCUGUGUAGCGGUGAAAUGCAUAGAUACGGGGAGGAAUACCGAUUGCGAAGGCAUGUUACUACGAGUAAACUGACGCUGAUGCACGAAAGCGUGGGGAUCAAACAGGAUUAGAAACCCUUGUAGUCC